rnacentral:tRNA from 3 species
GGGCCGUUAGCUCAGCUGGUGAGAGCGCCGGCCUUAUAAGCCGGUGGUCGCGGGUUCAAGUCCCGCACGGCCUACCA